UACGUACUCCUUCCGUCCAACAAAAAUUGUCUCAAAUUUGUUAAAAUUUGGAUGUAUCUAGACAUGACUUAGUGUAUAGAUCAAUAGAUGCAUUCAAAUUUGAUCAAAGUUGAGACAUUUUUUGUUGGAAAGGGAGAGUAUCAC
rnacentral:pre_miRNA from 1 species